AAGGCGAACCCUGUAGCGCUGCUGUUGUCAUCUGCCAUGAUGCUGAGGCAUCUUCAGUUCCCAUCAUUUGCUGAUCGAUUGGAAACUGCUGUGAAGCGGGUUAUUCUUGAAGGUAAGUACAGGACCAAAGAUCUUGGUGGGCAGAGCACAACCCAGGAAGUUGUGGAUGCAGUCAUCGCAGUGAUGGACUGAUUGAUUAUGCAAGAGAACAUCCCUUUCCUAUAAGUUUUG
rnacentral:misc_RNA from 1 species